rnacentral:rRNA from 1 species
UACGUAGGGGGCAAGCGUUGUCCGGAAUUAUUGGGCGUAAAGAGCGUGUAGGCGGUCCGGUAAGUCAGCUGUGAAAGUCAAGGGCUCAACCCUUGAAAGCCGGUUGAUACUGUCGGGCUAGAGUCCGGAAGAGGCGAGUGGAAUUCCCGGUGUAGCGGUGAAAUGCGCAGAUAUCGGGAGGAACACCUAUGGCGAAGGCAGCUCGCUGGGACGGUACUGACGCUGAGACGCGAAAGCGUGGGGAGCAAACAGG